GUAAUCGCAGAUCAGCAUGCUGCGGUGAAUACGUUCCCGGGCCUUGUACACACCGCCCGUCACACCAUGGGAGUCGGUAACACCCGAAGUCGGUAGCCUAACCGUAAGGAGGGCGCCGCCGAAGGUGGGAUUGAUGACUGGGGUGGAAGUCGUAACAAGGUAUC
rnacentral:rRNA from 1 species